GACGAACGCUGGCGGCGUGCUUAACACAUGCAAGUCGAGCGGUAAGGCCCUUUCGGGGGUACGACGAGCGGCGAACGGGUGAGUAACACGUGGGUGACCUGCCCUCAGCUCUGGGAUAAGCCUGGGAAACCGGGUCUAAUACUGGAUAUGACUCCAUGACGCAUGUUGUGGGGUGGAAAGCCUUGUGCGGUUGAGGAUGGGCCCGCGGCCUAUCAGCUUGUUGGGUGGGGGUGAGGCCUACCAAGGCGACGACGGGUAGCCGGCCUGAGAGGGCGACCGGCCACA
rnacentral:rRNA from 1 species